UUGUAUUGAUCCUGGCUCAGAUUGAACGCUGGCGGCAUGCCUUACACAUGCAAGUCGAACGGCAGCACGGGGGCAACCCUGGUGGCGAGUGGCGAACGGGUGAGUAAUACAUCGGAACGUGUCCUGGAGUGGGGGAUAGCCCGGCGAAAGCCGGAUUAAUACCGCAUACGCUCUGAGGAGGAAAGGGGGGGAUCGCAAGACCUCUCGCUCAAGGGGCGGCCGAUGGCAGAUUAGGUAGUUGGUGGGGUAAAGGCCUACCAAGCCGACGAUCUGUAGCUGGUCUGAGAGGACGACCAGCCACACUGGGACUGAGACACGGCCCAGACUCCUACGGGAGGCAGCAGUGGGGAAUUUUGGACAAUGGGCGCAAGCCUGAUCCAGCAAUGCCGCGUGUGUGAAGAAGGCCUUCGGGUUGUAAAGCACUUUUGUCCGGAAAGAAAACUUCUGUCCUAAUACGGCGGGGGGAUGACGGUACCGGAAGAAUAAGCACCGGCUU
rnacentral:rRNA from 1 species